UACGAAGGGUGCAAACGUUGCUCGGAAUUAUUGGGCGUAAAGCGCACGUAGGCGGCUUUGCAAGUCGGAUGUGAAAUCCCUCGGCUCAACCAAGGAAGUGCAUCCGAAACUGCAGAGCUUGAGUACUUAAGAGGAUCGCGGAAUUCCCGGUGUAGAGGUGAAAUUCGUAGAUAUCGGGAGGAACACCAGUGGCGAAGGCGGCGAUCUGGGAAGAUACUGACGCUGAGGUGCGAAAGUGUGGGGAGCGAACAGG
rnacentral:rRNA from 1 species